rnacentral:rRNA from 1 species
CACGUAGGCGGAUUGUUAAGUCAGGGGUGAAAUCCUGGGGCUCAACCUCAGAACUGCCCUUGAUACUGGCAAUCUUGAGUCCGGAAGAGGUGAGUGGAAUUCCCAGUGUAGAGGUGAAAUUCGUAGAUAUUGGGAAGAACACCAGUGGCGAAGGCGGCUCACUGGUCCGGUACUGACGCUGAGGUGCGAAAGCGUGGGGAGCAAACA